AGUGAACGCUGGCGGUAGGCCUAACACAUGCAAGUCGAACGGCAGCACAGUAAGAGCUUGCUCUUACGGGUUGCGAGUGGCGGACGGGUGAGGAAUACAUCGUAAUCUACUUUUUCGUGGGGGAUAACGUAGGGAAACUUACGCUAAUACCGCAUACGACCUACGGGUGAAAGCAGGGGAUCUUCGGACCUUGCGCGAUUGAAUGAGCCGAUGUCGGAUUAGCUAGUUGGCGGGGUAAAGGCCCACCAAGGCGACGAUCCGUAGCUGGUCUGAGAGGAUGAUCAGCCAAACUGGAACUGAGACACGGUCCAGACUCCUACGGGAGGCAGCAGUGGGGAAUAUUGGACAAUGGGCGAAAGCCUGAUCCAGACAUACCGCGUGGGUGAAGAAGGCCUUCGGGUUGUAAAGCCCUUUUGUUGGGAAAGAAAAGCAGCAGGUUAAUACCCCGCUGUUCUGACGGUACCCAAAGAAUAAGCACCGGCUAACUUCGUG
rnacentral:rRNA from 1 species